GAGAGUUUGAGUCCUGGCGUCAGAUUGAACGCUGCGGCGACUGCUUUACUACAUGCAAGUCGAACGGCAGCGCGGGGCGAACCUGGCGGCGAGUGGCGAACGGGUGAGUAAUAUAUCGGAACGUACCAAGAGUGGGGGAGUAACGUAGCGAAGUUAACGCUAAUACCGCAUACGGUCUAAGGAUGAAAGCAGGGGAUCUUCGGACCUUGUGCUCCUAGAGCGGCCGAUAUCUGAUUAGCUAGUUGGUGAGGUAAAGGCUCACCAAGGCCACGAUCAGUAGCUGGUCUGAGAGGACGACCAGCCACACUGGAACCGAGACACGGUCCAGACUCCUACGGGAGGCAGCAGUGGGGAAUUUUGGACAAUGGGCGAAAGCCUGAUCCAGCAAUGCCGCGUGAGUGAAGAAGGCCUUCGGGUUGUAAAGCUCUUUUGUCAGGGAAGAAACGGUGAAGGCUAAUAUCCUUCGCUAAUGACGGUACCUGAAGAAUAAGCACCGGCUAACUACGUG
rnacentral:rRNA from 1 species